AAAUUGAAGAGUUUGAUCAUGGCUCAGAUUGAACGCUGGCGGCAGGCCUAACACAUGCAAGUCGAGCGGAAACGAGUUAUCUGAACCUCCGGGGAACGAUAACGGCGUCGAGCGGCGGACGGGUGAGUAAUGCCUGGGAAAUUGCCCUGAUGUGGGGGAUAACCAUUGGAAACGAUGGCUAAUACCGCAUAAUAGCUUCGGCUCAAAGAGGGGGACCUUCGGGCCUCUCGCGUCAGGAUAUGCC
rnacentral:rRNA from 1 species